rnacentral:rRNA from 1 species
CCCGCUGAACUUAAGCAUAUCAAUAAGCGGAGGAAAAGAAACUAACAAGGAUUCCCCUAGUAACUGCGAGUGAAGCGGGAAAAGCUCAAAUUUAAAAUCUGGUGGUCUUUGGCCAUCCGAGUUGUAAUUUAGAGAAGCGUCUUCCGCGCUGGACCAUGCACAAGUCUCCUGGAAUGGAGCGUCAUAGAGGGUGAGAAUCCCGUCUUUGGCAUGGACACACCAGGGCUUCUGUGAUGCGCUCUCGAAGAGUCGAGUUGUUUGGGAAUGCAGCUCAAAAUGGGUGGUGAACUCCAUCUAAAGCUAAAUAUUGGCGAGAGACCGAUAGCGAACAAGUACCGUGAGGGAAAGAUGAAAAGAACUUUGGAAAGAGAGUUAAACAGUACGUGAAAUUGUUGAAAGGGAAACGCUUGAAGUCAGUCGCGUCGGCUUGGGGGAUCAACCCAGCAUUCAUUUGCUGGGCGUACUUCCCUAGUCGAUGGGUCAGCAUCAAUUUUGAUCGUUGGAUAAAGGUCUGGGGAAUGUGGCAUCUUCGGAUGUGUUAUAGCCCUUGGUCGGAUACAACGGUUGGGAUUGAGGAACUCAGCACGCCGCAAGGCCGGGUCUUCGGACCACGUAACGUGCUUAGGAUGCUGGCAUAAUGGCUUUAAUCGACCCGUCUUGAAACACGG